GGAGGGGAGGGUGGCGUUCCUGAGUCCGCGGAGGAAAGGGUCGCAGCUGCAGUCGCGCCAGCCCUCGGGCCUACAUCCGCUCCGCCGCGACGCGGCUCACAAACUAGGGAGGGGAGAAGGGAAGAAAGACCCGAUUCGGGAACACGGCUUUGUCCCUGGAACUGUACCUCAUGUCCCCUCACUUAAUCCUCCCAAGACCUGUGGGGCGUGUCGUCAUUUUAGGGCUGGAGAUGAGGAAACCGAGGCUCGGAGAGAUGAAGCGUUGUACGGCCACCGAGCGGCUGCUUUGCAACGAAGCCAAAGCCAACGUUUUGUUCUUAGCGGCGGUCGUUUGAGCCACGCCUCACCGCAACGAGUCUGCCAUCAGCCAAGAGGUCACAUCUUUUCUGGAACUCGCUCCCCCCUCACAUCAUGGGAGCAGUCAGUCUACUCUUCCAGUAGAAACUGUUUUGCCACUUUUGGGGGGAAUCUUGAGCUACCAGCUCAUCGCUCAGAUGGAGUGAAGGUACCUGAGCGCAGGAACCAUGGUCUUCAUUGCUGCCUCAGCAUUAGCGGAAGUGCCACGGGCCGGCUCCCAGGGGGCCAGAGUUUCCCAGGAACACCAUUGAGUACCACUGAACUAGAGUCUGCAAGUUAAAGUAAGGCAAGAAGGAAAACCGGAAACAACUGUAAAAACCUGACCUUUCGUCACCUUAAUACUGGCCAUCAUUUAUCGAGUGCUUAUUAUGUAACAGACAUUGUUCUCAGUGUGUGAGUGCAGUGUUCCUCAAACCUAAAUGUGGGCCUGAAUCGCAGCGGAUCUUGGUAAAAUGCAGUUUCUCAUUCAGUACCUCUGGGGUGCGGCCUGAGAUUCUGCAUUUCCAACAAGCUCCCAGGAUACUUUGUAUAGAAAGGCUUUGGUGUAUUAACUAACUCGAUCUUCUUAAUAAUCCUAUGAAAUACUACUGCUAUUCCCAUUUUACAGAUGAGGAAACAGAGGUUAAGCAUAUAUGAACUUACAUCAAAAUAAAUAGACUGCAGGGCAAGGAGGGAGGGGAGAAUAGUGUGGGCAGUGUACAGUGCAGAAACAAAGUUCUAGGCAGAGGAAAAAGGAUUUACAGAAAGCCUGGCAUACAGGGCAGGGGGACGGGGCCUGCACACGGGGCUGUUUCACCGUUAGACGUUAUAAGCACAGUACUUGGGGCUAUGGGCUUCCUGAAGGUCCCAAGUAUUUGAGACCUGAAAAAAAUUUAUUGACACCUACAUAGGAAAAGUGAACUUUUAAAUUAAUAAUUCCAAAAUUCAAAUCACGAAUUGUUUCAAAAAUUUUACAUGAUAGAAUUCAUAUUUAGUAAGCGAUACGGGUAUAUUUUAAUGCAUUUGAUUUUAAAAACGGGGUAGGGCCUACUAAGAACAGGCCAAGCCCUGGCCCCAGUGGGUUUGGAUAUAAUCCUGAGGGCAGCUGGGAACCACUGAGAGAAGCAGGAGAAUGUUCUCUGUGGCUACAGUGAGGAGAAUGGAUUGGAGGGAGGCCAGACUGGAGGCCCAGUGGCUAGAGACCAGAUAGGCAGUUACAGUCUUCCAGACUGCGAGACAAUCUCUCUUUAGUGCCAAGAUUAGCAUAAAAUCAUAGCAUUAUAUAACCCAAUUAUUCUUUGAUUCCUGCAUCCCCAAUCUGACUCAGCAUUCUAAAUUUACUUAAGAUCUGGGGACAAGGGUUUUUGGCAAAUCCUUGAAGGCAAAUGAUGUUACAGUCAAUCAGUAUAUGCCUUGAGCCAGACAGACAUGGGUACGGGCCUCAGUUCUGCUGCUUGCUAGCUAUGUGACUUUGCACAAGUGAUUUAACUUCUCUGGGCCUUGGAUUCCUUACUGGUAACACGAGCAUAAUCGAUUCCUCACAGAAUUAAGUGAGAAAACUAUGUAUGUAGGACUUCUUAUGGAGUGGGUACUUAGAAAUAAAUGGUAGCCGUUAUCAUUUAUGUGCCUUUGUUCUGAAAUCUGCUUAAGUUUUCUCUAGGAAGUAACAGAGGGUAGAAUAAAUUAUUUAGUAUUUUCAUCAAUCUUCUGAGAUAAAAAUUAUUAUCCUCAUUUUGCAGAUAAGGAAAAGGGCUCAGAGAUUAGAUCACAGCUCUGUGAAGUAGGGGCACAAAGUGGUCAACCUGGAAGAGCUGGACUUUAUUUUGCUUGCACUUCUGUCCAUGCACUCUCUCCAGCAGUUGACAUUUGCCCUCUUUGAUGGCUCCACGACCAAUUUCCCUUAGUCAUGGCAUGAGUCAGCUGUGAGGGCUGAUGGCACACCACCGAAUACUCUGCUGUGGCGCCACUAGCCUCCAUUUACCUUCUUCUCCAACGUUUUCCAGCCU
rnacentral:lncRNA from 10 species